rnacentral:rRNA from 1 species
GGAUCAAUGGGUCGGUCAUGCCAAUGGUAUGUACUGGCCUCAUUGGUUCUCACCUUCUAAGGAACCAUGAUGUCAUUCAUUUGAUGUUGUGGGGAAUUAGGACUGUUACCUUGAAAAAAUUAGAGUGUUUAAAGCAGGCUAACGCUUGAAUACAUUAGCAUGGAAUAAUGAAAUAGGACAUCGCAUUCUAUUUUGUUGGUUUCUAGGAUCGAUGUAAUGAUUAAUAGGGAUAGUUGGGGGCAUUAGUAUUCAAUUGUCAGAGGUGAAAUUCUUGGAUUUAUUGAAGACUAACUACUGCGAAAGCAUUUGCCAAGGAUGUUUUCAUUAAUCAAGAACGAAAGUUAGGGGAUCGAAGACGAUCAGAUACCGUCGUAGUCUUAACCAUAAACUAUGCCGACUAGGGAUCGGAUGAUGUUGAUUUUUUAAUGACUCAUUCGGCACCUUAC